GCUUGCGCAUGCUCCCUGGCCCUCCGUGCUCCGUUCAGGGGUGAAACAGCAUACACCACAAGGGUUACAUGACCGAGCAAGCUGCUCGCCCCACACAGUAGCAGAAGGAAGAGGAAGAGAAUGGGACUGCGGCUCUGUCAUCCCCUCACCGACACAUGUUCCCAAAGGCCAUGGACUCGGGUAUCUCCCAUCCUCUCCAGGAGCAGGCUUAGUCCUUCCAUUCCUUAGUGAAUGGAAGACGCUGCGACCUCAGACUCAGGGGCUGUGGACGGCCCACUCAGUCGUGUCGGGGAACCUGAGCCUCCUGCUGGUGAGUGUCUGGAACUCUUGCCUGCUGUCCUUCCUGUCCAACCUCUGAGCGUCUCUCCAUGGAACAGGCCUCCGUCUCGCCAGAUUGUUCUGUGGCCCAGGCUGCCAGCAGGUCAGAGUCCGUCCUGGACCGGGCGGUCACUGGGAUUGCUUCAAGCCUCCCCUCAAGGGCUUCGUGUUACAUUUUCAAGCUACCUCCUCAGGAGUAAAUGAGGCAAGCAAGUUACAUUCAAAUGGAGGAGGACAAGGAGAGAAUAAAGAGCUUUUGCUGCGCUGGCUAGCCUUAAAUUUACCUCAAAAUAACCAAUGUGCUAAAGUGACGGCCUCUUCUGACGGUAUCUGGUAAGCGCCUCCUCCAAGGGGACUGCUCCACACUCUAGGAGGCUGCUAGUCCCAGGGGACUUCACAAUGCUUUUAUCAGCCUCCACCCUAAGAGGCAAGCAAGAGCGGAUGAAUGAAGACUCCCCUAAGACGCUUUGCGUCUCCCCCUCUCUGGCUCUGAGAACGCUGCUAAUGGGACCUUGCUAUAGUUGAGUUCUCGAAUGUCUCCCGAAGACCUGAGUGGUGGAUUCCAUUAUAGUGACCAAAGCUGACUGACAGCAUGGCUCUCCUUCAGCCCUUCCCGCCUCCCCUCAGGCUCAGCAGCUCCCCACCCUGAGGACAUCCACCGUUCCUAUCUUGCAUCUAGGUGACUCCAGCUCGUGUCAAGUUGACUGAAAACUAUCCAGCACAGCCCAGUUUGUUCAUCUCCAGGACCCUGACACGAAGUUACUUUUAGUAGCCGGCCAGCGUCAAGCAUAGCUAAGUGGUCUAGAACAAGUUUUCCAGAGAAAAAGGGAUUUCUUGACAACGAUCUU